GAGAGAGGAGACUACCCAAAAUACUGAAGUAGAGAAGAUUUGACUGCACAAUAGAGGUGAUAUCUAAAGAUUUUAGGGGAAUUGUUAAGGAAAAGUUCAUUUUGGAAUAGCAUUUGGAGAUUUUGAUAAGGAAGAGUAGCAUAUGUUUGGGCUUCCGCUGGGAUGUGCGCAUGAGUGAAGUUUAGGAAAUCAAUGGAAUAAGUUUUGAACUUUUAUGUUUUAAGA